rnacentral:rRNA from 1 species
UACAGGGGGGGCAAGCGUUGUUCGGAAUUACUGGGCGUAAAGGGCCAGUAGGCGGCCAACUAAGUCCGACGUGAAAUCCCCAGGCUUAACCUGGGAACUGCGUCGGAUACUGGAUGGCUUGAAUUCGGGAGAGGGAUGCAGAAUUCCAGGUGUAGCGGUGAAAUGCGUAGAUAUCUGGAGGAAUACCGGUGGCGAAGGCGGCAUCCUGGACCGAGAUUGACGCUGAAUGGCGAAAGCUAGGGGAGCAAACGGG